GGGAAUUUGGACAAUGGGCGCAAGCCUGAUCCAGCCAUGCCGCGUGCGGGAAGAAGGCCUUCGGGUUGUAAACCGCUUUUGUCAGGGAAGAAACGCUCUGGGUUAAUACCCCGGAGUAAUGACGGUACCUGAAGAAUAAGCACCGGCUAACUACGUGCCAGCAGCCGCGGUAAUACGUAGGGUGCAAGCGUUAAUCGGAAUUACUGGGCGUAAAGCGUGCGCAGGCGGUUAUGCAAGACAGAUGUGAAAUCCCCGGGCUCAACCUGGGAACUGCAUUUGUGACUGCAUAGCUGGAGUGCGGCAGAGGGGGAUGGAAUUCCGCGUGUAGCAGUGAAAUGCGUAGAUAUGCGGAGGAACACCGAUGGCGAAGGCAAUCCCCUGGGCCUGCACUGACGCUCAUGCACGAAAGCGUGGGAGCAAACAG
rnacentral:rRNA from 1 species